rnacentral:lncRNA from 1 species
GCGUCCUGCGGUCUUCCUGAGCGAAAGCUGGUGAACUGGGGUGCUGGGGUGCUAUCUGCGGGCAUUUCAGCUCCUUCCGCCGCUGCUGAGAAAGUUGAAGGCUUCGAAUUAAAUGAGUAGCAGCUCACCUAGUUCCUCCACACUGUUAGCGGGCAUGCCCGUGCUGGGCUGCCCAGGAAUUCAUUAUGUAGCUCACCCACAGUGAUCCUCCUGCUUCAGCCUCCCACAUGCUAGGAUAACAGCCCAGCCCAGAGGCAAAGAAAUGACUCCUUUUGGAACCUAUUUCAACAAGUCCCUGAGGCGUAUCGACCUUUAACCGCCAGGAAUCCUGUGGUCCUGCUUGAGGUGUGCCAAGACGGAACGGAGCAAAGAAUACCAUAAACCAACAGACUUUGCAAAUACACUGGAAGGAUUGAACUUGGCCUUGCUACCGAGCGCCUCUGACCUCUGAGACAUCACACCAGCCCGAGUUAUGGAUGUGCAGAACCACACAGGCAGCUGAGGGAAACGGGAAGCUAACAACCGCUGAUCACGCUCACAGGCUGAUCCUAAUUGCUUGCACUGCCUAACGCUUGCACACCACAGUGACAAUAAGAUGUGAUUGCAGGUCCCGGAAGCUGGUGGCUUACUUCCCUAGCUGGCAGGUUUGAUUGCAGCUAUUCAAAGACCAUUUAGAUGUGUGCAUGUGUCUAGGAUCCAAAUGGUACCCAAGUCUGCCUUCCCUGACCAACCAGCACCAGGAGAAGGAUACACUGUCCCCUCAGCCCCCAGGGACUUGCCACCCACUGUUAGAUCCCUUCUUAGGGGAUAUAACACACUAAGGGAUAAGCAGAAGUCAGAUGGGCUGACAUAUCUGUAUUCCAGAAGAAACUGAGGAAUGUGUCUCAACUUCUUAAAAGUCCUCAGAGUCGGGAUAUUCUUUAAAUAGUGUUUCUUCUCUCUUUCAUUUAAUGAGUGGAAUCAUGAUUUCCCAGUCCCCAACUGAACCUUGGAUCUCGUGAAUGUUAAAAACAAGUAGCGGGGAGCUGGAGAGAUGGCUCAGCGGUUAAGAGCACUGGAUGCUCUUCCAAAGGUCCUGAGUUCAAUUCCCAGCAACCUUAUGGUGGCUCACAACCAUCUGUAAUGCAAUCUGGUGCCCUCUCCUGCCAUGCAAGGCAUACAUGCAAGGCAGAACACUGUAUGCAUGAUAAUAAAUAAAUAAGUAAAUAAAUAAAUCUUUAAAAAGUA